rnacentral:rRNA from 1 species
AUGAAUGAUGACAGGAAGGGUGCCAUUGAUGAGAUGGAUUUUACAAGCCUUCGGAAUAUCCAGUGUGAUGAUCUAUUCAACAAUCUCAGUGUGUGGCUUGCUGAUCUGUACGACCCCGAUUCCCGUGAAGUGGUCGUACCAGGGCGAGGCAGGCUUCCGGUUAAUGAGGAAUACGUGCAUCGUGUUAUGGGCAUGCCGCAUGGAGGGAAUGAUGUCCGUUACAACCUCCAUACUGAAGCUGAUAUUGAGUUAGGGCUUGAGUUGUUUGGUGAGCUUGGAUAUGCCCCUAAAAUGACUGAUCUUGUUGAUCUCAUAAAGGGUUCUGAAAAUGCUGACGAUUCUUUCAAGCGUAUGUGGCUUUUGCUUGUGGGGAAUACAGUCAUUGCCCCGACCACCUCCAACAAAGUUAGCCCCAGAUGGUAUGCUAUGUUGUGUGACAUCAAUGGUAUUAAAAAUCUCAAUUGGUCCAAAUUUAUUGCUAAUGAACUACACAAGGCACUGCUGAAACGCAAGCCUACCCGGGGUUGCCUUCUUUUCUACAAUCUAUUGUACAUUCAUGCGAUUAAUCUUUCUGGACUCGGCAUCGUAUUGCUUGAUGGUCAUUUUCCCAUCAAUGUCUGGACGAAGAAGCUGAUAACUCUUGUCCUCAACAAGGAUGUUCAGGCUGACAAAGUUUCUUUCGGGAAACUACCGUUAAAGCCUGAGUUUGGCGUGAAUUUCUGUCUGUUUGGUGGUCUCGAAGGUCUUGACAAGUUUAUGUGUGUUCAUACUGCCCCAAGCUGCAGUCAGGAGAUAGUUGCUCGGUUCACGUCCGCCAUGGCUGGCAUACUAGGCGAUCUUGUGCAAUCAUUUACCACUUUGGAUGAUGAGGGCCAUUCAGAUGCGUCCCGUCGGCUAAACGCUGGAUUGAAUGGUCUUUCUUCUGCUGCCCAUACGACGGCAAGGACCACGCGCUCAUCACAAGGCAGGCGGUCAGUAAGCCCUGGAAAGAAUGUUGCUAAAGAUUUUGGCAGUGAUGACGAGUACCACGGAGGCAAUGAUGCUGAGUCUGAUGAAGACUCCGAUGAUGACUCCAAUGAUUACCGAGUUGUUUGUCAUUGUCGUAAUGAUCCUUUCGUUGCUUCAGGCAGUGGUACCACAAAUGUAGAUACGGGCAGCGGUCUAGCUGAUGAUGAAAUCACACAUCUGGAUGAUGCAACUGUCAAAGCUCAUGAGAACACAGGACCAGAUGUUGAAGACACGCCUGUCCGCCCUGUCGAUGAGAACCUCAAUGAGUCUCAGAUCAUGCUCACUGGCACCUCUCACGCAGCAUCAGUCGGAUCAGGAGAUGGAGGGCUUAGCCAGCAAGGUCUGACAGACACGCAAGCUGAGGUGGCCACUGAAUCUUCUAUCAAGCGAUGUGGUUCUCAGCUUCUAAAAAACUUGGCUUACCAGAGGCGCAAGAAACUGGGGCUACCAUCACCCCCCCCCCCGGUCCAGCUUCACCAACUAUGCCGCUCCAUCCAACUUCACCAGUUGUGCCCCCAGCCCAUCGCAAAGGCCGUCUUCACCAAAUGCACUGUCAGCAGCUGA